rnacentral:lncRNA from 1 species
GGAUUGUGUCGAGGCACAGAUCUGGGGAAGGGUACCAAAACAUUUCUGCAGCAUUGAAGGUCCCCAAGAACACAGUGGCCUUCAUCAUUCUUAAAUCGAAGACGUUUGGAACCACCGAGACUCUUCCUAGAGCUGGCCGCCCAGCCUAACUUAGCAAUCGGGGGACAAGGUUAACGAGGACAAACAGCAUGAUUCAUCAACAGAAAACAAGAAAAAGAAUGCCUGGACUACCAUUUGUAAUGAAUUCAACUCAAAUGAAAAAAGUUGAACAAAAAGGAUGCUACAACAACUUCAGGUCCUGUGGAAAAACAUACAAAUCUACUUAACAGUCUUGAUAGGCUCCCCACGAGCCUAUCAAGACUGUUAAGGCCAGCGACCGAGAAAAAAAAAGAAAAAAAAGCUGGGGGACUUGUUGACUGGGAUCAUUGAUAGCCAGCAACCCCUCGAAGGUAUCCCCGAUAAUGACCAUUUGGACAGUUAAGAUGGGGCACCGUUCCAAUCCUUAUUUGAGCAGAUCACCGUAGCUUGGAGGGGACUUGUCUUAACAGGAAGGUCAGCUCGUUACAUCUGCAGCAGCCAGGAGGGAAGAUUGUGUCGCUAAUCCGGGCCGGAGGACAAAGAGGCUGCGCAUGCAUGAGAAACUGCCCAUGGAAUUUCAUGAGCGAAAACUAAUGUAUUUAAAAGGGCAUGAUAUGAAGAUGCAAAUCCUACAUGUUGAGUUGGCUAUGAAGGAGAAGGAAAGAAACAUGAAGCAGCAGCAGUUGAGGGUCUUGACAUUUCCAUUUGUGAAUUAAAAACCUUUUUGUUACCAA